UGAACCUACGGGAGGCAGCAGUGGGGAAUAUUGCACAAUGGGGGAAACCCUGAUGCAGCGACGCCGCGUGAGUGAAGAAGUGUUUCGGCACGUAAAGCUCUGUCAGCAGGGAAGAAAAUGACGGUACCUGACCAAGAAGCCCCGGCUAACUACGUGCCAGCAGCCGCGGUAAUACGUAGGGGGCAAGCGUUAUCCGGAUUUACUGGGUGUAAAGGGAGCGUAGACGGCUGUGCAAGUCUGAAGUGAAAGCCCAGGGCUCAACCCUGGGACUGCUUUGGAAACUGUGGAGCUAGAGUGCUGGAGAG
rnacentral:rRNA from 1 species